rnacentral:lncRNA from 1 species
GGCAUAUGCUCGCGCCUCGGUGUGAAGGAGCUCUCGCCUGUGUUUCUUGCUAUCCCCAUCUAAAUGCUGGAGCGAGGAGUUAAAUUAUUCCAGAAGGCCCGCCAGGGUCUGAUUUGCCACUGUCUGCUUCCUCGUUGCCUUUGAAUGGGACCCUUGAUCCAAGGCUUUCAGAGACCAGCCGGUGCUGAUGGGGGUCCGUGACUUGGCGGUGGCGCCUGUUUGCUCCUUCUCUGUCUCGAGCAUGGUUUUCUAUCCUGCCGGGGAGGGCGAGAGCGCUGGGCAGAGGUGGCACCUGACCCGCUAGAACUCCGAUGUCACUGCUGUGGCUGUUACUCCCCUCGGCAAGAGUCAAGGCGCACGCAGGACGUGAAUCCUGCAAUGGACUGACCUCAUCUUCCCGAGGCUGUGAUGUUUCAGGAGAGUUUCACUAUUGCUGACCAACUGAGACCACCAGGAGCUCCUAAGUGCAAAGAAUGGCUACAUCUUUUCUUCUGGAUACCACCAGAUCAUUCCAGCCACCUGCCUUUGUGGUGUCUCCAGACAAGGGCUGACAACCAUCGAAGCAUCGAAACCCUAAGGCUACUUGGAGAGAAGAAGACUGUCCCUGGAGAAGGCGUGGGUGACUGAUUUUUAAGAAAUCGGCAACACGGAAGCUGAUUAUAAAAUAUUCAUAAGAAGCUGGCUUUUACAGGUUAAUCCCCAGGACAACAUUGCUUUGAAAGAAAAAAUGUGUGAGCCAUCUUGAAGAUUUGGACUCCAGAGGCCUCUAUGUGUCCUGCCUCUGCUAGACCCAGACAACAGACUCAAGGUGAUAGAUGUUCACAGAGAAAGUAGAAGAAGAUGGACAAUGUCUAUACGCCAUCUUCAGUUGGUAACGCUGUGGCAGUUAGCAUAACCAGUGCUAGGCAAGAUUCAACCGCACUGGCUGCGGUAUGCGUGGCCAACCGGAGUGAGGACAAAUCCCAUUCCGUCUGAAGACUGUCUCCUGCCAGAGAUCAAAUGCAGCUCGCACAUACAUGACACCAAGCAGAAGCAAGUACUAUUCCAUUACAAAUGAAGCAGAGAGAGCCAGAAUUAUUUGGUCAGCUUGGUAUUCAAAAUGGUUGAGAUUCUGACCUUCCCACUCCUUCCUUAAUUAUCUUGAUAAUUUUGGCAAGAGGAGGUUUGUGGGGUGGAGAGGGAUAAUUCUGAAAGAAUUAAAUAAUUAUAGCAGUCAGGAAAUCCAUCCAGGGUUUUAUAAAUUCCUGCAUAAUAGUUCAAAAUCUCUUGAUUUUUCAUCGUGUAUAAGCUAAAUUCAUUAGCACAUACCUUAGAUCAUCUGUUAGAUGCCUAGCAGUGUAAAAACACAGGGCCUGUGAAGUGUUUUUUUUGGUUUUGUUUUGUUUUUAAUCUUGACUUUUACAGAAUAAAAACUACCACCACCAACAACAA